GCCGAAAGCCAGCAAGAAACCGAAACCUGCCAGCAACAAGAGUGAGCUUGGAAGCCAACUGUGCAGCCCCAGCUGGGCUUUGAGAUGACUGCAACCCCAGCCCACAGCUUGCCUGAAACCUCUCGAGAGGCCCUGAGCCAGAACCACCCAGCUGAGCCACUCCCUGAUUCCUGACCUCAGAAACUAUGUGAGGUCAUAGAUGUUUGCUGUUUAAGCUGCUGCAUUUUGAAGGAAUCUGUUACACAGCAAUAGAAAACUAAUACAAUUGGGCAGUUCUCCUUAGAGGCUGUCCUCAAGACAGUGACUCAGGAUCUGGGCUGCUUCUGUAUUACGGCUCUGCCAUCUCCUAGUGCCUCCAUGGACUCCUCUGCUUGGUCAUCACUCAGCCAUCAAGUAAAGAGAGAGACAGCAAGGAGGAUCACCCAGGAUGUUUCAUAGACAAGUCUGGAAGUGGUGUACAUUACUUCCCUCCACAUGCCAUUGCCCAGAACAUGGUCAACUAACACCAGCCUAACAGCAAGCAGGACUGGGACACGAGUCUUAUCCAGAAAGAGGAAGUGGAAUUGACUCACUUUUGUACACCAUCUUCAUGCAAAUGGUGGAGCCCUCCUCAGCUGGAACUGCCCUCAAUAAGUCAUAAUGUGGACUUUGACCUCUGACCACAUUUGGAAAGUGACCAAAUCAAGACAGAAAAAUCUAACUUGCCAAAGACCACAUAGGAAGUUCUUGGCAAAGUCAGAUGAGAAAACAGAGUUCAUGAACUUCAAGAGCCAACAUUUUUAACCACUGCCUCUGUUCCUUGUUUUGGGAACCCUUUUCCAAUAAAAAAAAAGGUAGAAAAUUCUAGAAUUUUCUUGCUUUUUUUCCAUGACCAA